rnacentral:rRNA from 1 species
UACAGAGGUGGCAAGCGUUGUUCGGAUUUACUGGGCGUAAAGGGUCCGUAGGCGGUUCGGUUAGUCAAAUGUGAAAGCCCACAGCUCAACUGUGGAACUGCAUUUGAAACUGCCGAGCUAGAGUGUGAGAGGGGUAAAGGGAAUUCCCGGUGUAAGGGUGAAAUCUGCAGAGAUCGGGAGGAACACCAGUCGCGAAGGCGCUUUACUGGCUCACUACUGACGCUCAGGGACGAAAGCUAGGGUAGCAAACGGG